AGUGAACGCUGGCGGUAGGCCUAACACAUGCAAGUCGAACGGCAGCACAGGAGAGCUUGCUCUCUGGGUGGCGAGUGGCGGACGGGUGAGGAAUACAUCGGAAUCUACUCUGUCGUGGGGGAUAACGUAGGGAAACUUACGCUAAUACCGCAUACGACCUACGGGUGAUAGCAGGGGAUCUUCGGACCUCGCGCGAUUGAAUGAGCCGAUGUCGGAUUAGCUAGUUGGCGGGGUAAAGGCCCACCAAGGCGACGAUCCGUAGCUGGUCUGGGAGGAUGAUCAGCCACACUGGAACUGAGACACGGUCCAGAAUCCUACGGGAGGCAGCAGUGGGGAAUAUUGGACAAUGGGCGCAAGCCUGAUCCAGCCAUACCGCGUGGGUGAAGAAGGCCUUCGGGUUGUAAAGCCCUUUUGUUGGGAAAGAAAUCCAGCUGGCUAAUACCCGGUUGGGAUGACGGUACCCAAAGAAUAAGCACCGGCUAACUUCGUGCCAGCCGCCGCAGUAA
rnacentral:rRNA from 1 species